AGUGGCGAACGGGUGAGUAACACGUGGGCAACCUGCCCAAAAGAGGGGGAUAACACUUGGAAACAGGUGCUAAUACCGCAUAACCAUAGUUACCGCAUGGUAACUAUGUAAAAGGUGGCUAUACUACCGCUUUUGGAUGGGCCCGCGGCGCAUUAGCUAGUUGGUAGGGUAAAGGCUUACCAAGGCAAUGAUGCGUAGCCGAAUUGAGAGGUUGAUCGGCCACAUUGGGACUGAGACGCGGCCCAAACUCCUACGGAAGGCAGCAG
rnacentral:rRNA from 1 species